rnacentral:rRNA from 1 species
GCAGAGCAUCCUACGGGAGGCAGCAGUGGGGAAUAUGCACAAUGGGCGCAAGCCUGAUGCAGCCAUGCCGCGUGUAUGAAGAAGGCCUUCGGGUUGUAAAGUACUUUCAGCAGUGAGGAAGGUGGGUAUGUUAAUAGCAUAUUCAUUUGACGUUAGCUGCAGAAGAAGCACCGGCUAACUCCGUGCCAGCAGCCGCAGUAAUACGGAGGGUGCGAGCGUUAAUCGGAAUUACUGGGCGUAAAGCGCAUGCAGGUGGUUUGUUAAGUCAGAUGUGAAAGCCCGGGGCUCAACCUCGGAAUUGCAUUUGAAACUGGCAAACUAGAGUACUGUAGAGGGGGUAGAAUUUCAGGUGUAGCGGUGAAAUGCGUAGAGAUCUGAAGGAAUACCGGUGGCGAAGGCGGCCCCCUGGACAGAUACUGACACUCAGAUGCGAAAGCGUGGGGAGCAAACAGGAUUAGAUACCCUGGUAG